UACGUAGGAUGCAAGCGUUGUCCGGAAUUAUUGGGCGUAAAGAGUUCGUAGGCGGUUGCCUAAGUCUGGUGUUAAAUACAGGAGCUCAACUCCUGCAUGGCACUGGAAACUGGGCAGCUAGAGUGUGGUAGAGGUCACGGGAAUUCCAGGUGUAGCGGUGAAAUGCGUAGAUAUCUGGAGGAACACCAGUGGCGAAAGCGCGUGACUGGGCCAUAACUGACGCUGAGGCGCGAAAGCUAGGGGAGCAAACAGG
rnacentral:rRNA from 1 species